AUUGAACGCUGGCGGCAGGCUUAACACAUGCAAGUCGAGCGGAGAUGAGGUGCUUGCACCUUAUCUUAGCGGCGGACGGGUGAGUAAUGCUUAGGAAUCUGCCUAUUAGUGGGGGACAACAUUCCGAAAGGAAUGCUAAUACCGCAUACGCCCUACGGGGGAAAGCAGGGGAUCUUCGGACCUUGCGCUAAUAGAUGAGCCUAAGUCGGAUUAGCUAGUUGGUGGGGUAAAGGCCUACCAAGGCGACGAUCUGUAGCGGGUCUGAGAGGAUGAUCCGCCACACUGGGACUGAGACACGGCACAGACUCCUACGGGAGGCAGCAGUGGGGAAUAUUGGACAAUGGGCGGAAGCCUGAUCCAGCCAUGCCGCGUGUGAAGAAGGCCUUUUGGUUGUAAAGCACUUUAAGCGAGGAGGAGGCUACCUGGAUUAAUACUCUAGGAUAGUGGACGUUACUCGCAGAAUAAGCACCGGCUAACUCUGUGCCAGCCGCCGCGGUAACAC
rnacentral:rRNA from 1 species